CUCCGCGCUACACUCUUAUUUCGUCAUAAUCACUGAUGAUUGUCCGAUGUUUCUUUAAUAUUACUGAAAUUUCUCCACUCGCGACUAAACACGAACGCGUCCGCGAAUUCACAUCCGCGAUACCGCGUAAUCACUUGAGUUCUUAUUCAACGUUUAUGUGCGACAUCUGUAUAGCGGUUCGUAUCAUUCUCUGUAUAUUAUUCGCGGCGUUUAUGUUAAUAAAACACGCAAUUGUGUGUAAGUACCUGAUAUUUUUUCUCAAAAUGGGGGCGGAACAUUUUUUAUCGAAGCCUGGGGAAAACUCUUGUAAUAGCAACUGGCGCGAAUGCGACGACGGUUGGCGGAAGACGUACAGUUAUAUGGAAGGGGUCUCACGCCUAUCGUCACGGCUGUUAUAGGCAAGUUCAAGACGAUGCGUCGUCAUACAGUGAAACGCUCAGCGCAGUGGCUGAUUUGAUAUCGGAAUCCUUCGUCGAUCGAAAGAUGACGAUAGGACGAUACGUGACCUUCGUAAUUCCGGGAAUGGCGGUUAUUGUCAGGCGCUCAAUAGGCAUAAAAGUAUGUUUACGUCGUGUCUCCGCAUAUUUGGCUCCAAACAAAACACGGCACGUUUGUUCUUUUUUUAAUCGGCGAGAAUGAUUGUGAUCGACUACGUUUUGGCGAUUUGCGAUUUAUUCGUGUGAGUGAAUAAUCUUCAAAUCUUGGGAGCAAACAAGAAUUGGCAUCGAUGGAAUAGCAUCGGAAUAGCAACGUGUAGCAGGUGCAUAACAGUUGGACACUUUGCCGCAGAUACGCAGAAAACUGAUCUUUUUCCGGAACGAUAAUGUGGGCGUUUAACAACGGAACGUGGGCGGUGAUGAAAGAAAUUCUAGGAAACUGAAGAUCCAAGAUUAACUGACGGUUAAUGUAUAUCGGUGCUUCGGGUUAAUGGAGCGCAGCUUGAGCGAAAAGGGACGCGAUGACACGCUGCCAGCCGAAGACUGAGGCCUGUUGAGCCAGGAUUAGAAGACCGUUUUAAACCACUCUCGUCUUCAUCUCAGAUCGAUCAAAUCAUUGACGCGAGCUUCUCGUAAAGCUUCACACACCUCGUACACACUGGAAUCAGUAUCGUGCGCAAAGGCUGCUGCAAUCACUCCACGGUUUACAAAUCUGUGGAAAUCGGAAACUGCGGUCCUGCACGACAACAUAUCCGCCAAAGGAAAGGAAGAAAAUUGCGGGAGAGAGUGAGAAAGUCGUACCUUCGGUUGUCCUUAAUUCCGGAUGAUCAAAGGAUCGCUUGCCGAGGACAGAUUUAUUCUAUGUCUCACGAAUUCCUGAGAGGCUAGUCGCUGCGACGCAAAGGUUUCGUAAACGAUAUAUUCGUCGGUGAAUUAAAAUAUGUACCUCGGCCGGUCGUUCGGACAAUCAAUAAUGCCGGGUCGUAAAACUCUGCGCGCGGCACGCAGCGUGUCUGAUAAAUAAUGCAAUUCUGCCGGGAGAGUCGAUGUCUCGGAGUGUGAAACGAAAAGCGCUGGAUCAUCCUUUGUGCUGAAGAGACUUCGAAGGAUCUUACGUGAAUUACCAGGACGGGCGAACAUUGUGUUACGUGAAUCGAUUUCGUGAAGUUGACCCGGAGUGCUGGAUUGCUGGAAGGCAUCAGGAACGAGGAUUAACAGGUGCGGGUAUUAUAAAUGAAUAAUCGUGCGCGCUAUGCGAGAAGUGCUUGAGAAGGUGCGGAAUUCCUUAAAUUUUUCGCGAACCAGGUCGAUUUUUGUGACAUCACCGCGGAACGAUUUGGGAUAGUGUCGGAUCUAGCAAAUAUUUGGCCGUGCUUCGAAACCGAGUAGUUUAACGCGCCACGGAGCAUCUCAUCGUGAUUCAAAGCUCGUCGUUCGAACGUUGAAACGAAAAAAAAGGAGGACUUUCCAUAUUGACAUGCCGAUGUCAAACAUGAUUCGUGCGGAUGUGUGACGGAGCGCAUAAAUCGCGGUACACGAGCAAUUAAGAAGUAAAUCGGAGGAGCGGUAAUUAACGUAGUGACUAAAGACGCGCAUGCUCGUGGUAAUUAAUUACUUUCAAUGUGAGUUUAGAAAAGUCGGAGGGUCCUCUCUUGGGAGCCAUUAAAUGGACUUGAAGAGUAACUCGUGAAUAGGAGCGUGCAGCGCGAAUAAAUUUCUAGAAUACCCCUAAUUGCCGAAGCAAUAAAGUUAUAUAAGCUUUGGCGAAGAAUUCUUGCAAAUAUACGAAGGUUCUUAAGAUAUAGUGAAAAUAUUCGAAUAAAGGACGACGACGGGAUACGGAUCCAUUCCAAGAUCCGAAGAAAGUCAAGCUCGUUUUGUGUUCGACAAUUCCGGGCGAACCAGAAUGCAGACGAUGCCGUGCGCGCUUCGUUAAACUGACAAUAAUCGUCAACCGUGUGUCACAAACUCGUACGUGGGAAAGUGAGUGCUUGCAAAUGAGAUUCCGGCGAUGACGUUGUUUCGUGAUUUGAGCACUGGAGCGUCACUCUAUGCGUGAAAAUUUGACUCGUCUUCCACGAGCGCGCGGUACGUUUCGAGAGGAAAAGAAAACGUGAUAAGGAAAAAAGCAUUCGAGAGUUAUCUCUCGAAAAAUCUUCUUCUCAAACAUAUCUUACACAGAAAGGAUCGAGAACAAUUAUUGUUAGUCAGCAUUCGAGCUUUAUCAAAGAAUUUGGGCAUUGAUAACGUUAAAUUUAUUGAAUAUUAUAUAAGAAAAGUCUAUAAAGAGAUCCGUACAAAACAGAUUAGCGCGUGUCAGUCGGAAUUAUCUAAGAAAAAAAAAAAAAAAAAA